rnacentral:rRNA from 1 species
UGGGGAAUCUUGCGCAAUGGGCGAAAGCCUGACGCAGCAACGCCGCGUGCGGGAUGAAGGCCUUCGGGUUGUAAACCGCUUUCAGUGGGGACGAACCAAGACGGUACCCACAGAAGAAGCCCCGGCCAACUACGUGCCAGCAGCCGCGGUAACACGUAGGGGGCAAGCGUUGUCCGGAUUCAUUGGGCGUAAAGAGCUCGUAGGCGGUUCGAUAAGUCGGGUGUGAAACCUCCAGGCUCAACCUGGAGACGCCACCCGAUACUGUCGUGACUAGAGUCCAGUAGGGGAGCGUGGAAUUCCUGGUGUAGCGGUGAAAUGCGCAGAUAUCAGGAGGAACACCAGCGGCGAAGGCGGCGCUCUGGGCUGGAACUGACGCUGAGGAGCGAAAGCGUGGGGAGCGAACAGGAUUAGAUACCCUUGUAGUCCCUGAG